rnacentral:rRNA from 1 species
ACGCUGGCGGCGUGCCUAAUACAUGCAAGUCGAACGGUCUUUUCUAUGGAAGCUUGCUUCCACUGAGAAGAUAGUGGCGAACGGGUGAGUAACACGUGGGUAACCUGCCCAUAAGAGGGGGGAUAACAUCCGGAAACGGGUGCUAAUACCGCAUAGUUUUCUUGAUCGCAUGAUCGGGAAAGGAAAGACGGCCUUUGUGCUGUCGCUUAUGGAUGGACCCGCGGCGUAUUAGUUAGUUGGUGAGGUAACGGCUCACCAAGACGAUGAUACGUAGCCGACCUGAGAGGGUGAUCGGCCACAUUGGGACUGAGACACGGCCCAAACUCCUACGGGAGGCAGCAGUAGGGAAUCUUCCGCAAUGGACGAAAGUCUGACGGAGCAACGCCGCGUGAGUGAAGGUAAAGGGUUUUCGGAUCGUAAAACUCUGUUGUCAGAGAAGAACAAGUUGGAGAGUAACUGCUCCAGCCUUGACGGUAUCUGACCAGAAAGCCACGGCUAACUACGUGCCAGCAGCCGC